CAGUAGCCACGGGAAUACGAAGGGGGCUAGCGUUGCUCGGAAUUACUGGGCGUAAAGGGAGCGUAGGCGGGUCGUUAAGUCAGAGGUGAAAUCCCGGGGCUCAACCUCGGAACUGCCUUUGAUACUGGCGACCUUGAGUAUGGGAGAGGUAAGCGGAACUCCGAGUGUAGAGGUGAAAUGCGUAGAGAUCGGGAGGAACAUCUGUGGCGAAGGCGGCCAUCUGGGACAACACUGACGCUGAGGCACGAAAGCGUGGGGAGCAAACAGGAUUAGAUACCCCCGUAGUCCCUGUCUCUUAUAC
rnacentral:rRNA from 1 species